rnacentral:rRNA from 1 species
UACGUAGGCAGCGAGCGUUGUUCGGAAUUACUGGGCGUAAAGAGUGUGUAGGCGGUGCUCUAAGUUCGGUGUGAAAUCUCCUGCUUAACUGGGAGGGUGCGCCGGAAACUGAAGUGCUUGAGCGUGGGAGAGGAAAGCGGAAUUCCUGGUGUAGCGGUGAAAUGCGUAGAUAUCAGGAGGAACACCUGUGGUGUAGACGGCUUUCUGGACCAUAGCUGACGCUGAGACACGAAAGCGUGGGUAGCAAACAGG